UCAUGGCUCAGAUUGAACGCUGGCGGCAGGCCUAACACAUGCAAGUCGAGCGGUAGCACAAGAGAGCUUGCUCUCUGGGUGACGAGCGGCGGACGGGUGAGUAAUGUCUGGGAAACUGCCUGAUGGCGGGGGAUAACUAGUGGAAACGGUAGCUAAUACCGCAUAACGUCGCAAGACCAAAGUGGGGGACCUUCGGGCCUCACGCCAUCAGAUGUGCCCAGGUGGGAUUAGCUGGUAGGUGGGGUAACGGCUCACCUAGGCGACGAUCCCUAGCUGGUCUGAGAGGAUGACCAGCCACACUGGAACUGAGACACGGUCCAGACUCCUACGGGAGGCAGCAGUGGGGAAUAUUGCACAAUGGGCGCAAGCCUGAUGCAGCCAUGCCGCGUGUGUGAAGAAGGCCUUCGGGUUGUAAAGCACUUUCACCGAGGAGGAAGGGUAAUGUG
rnacentral:rRNA from 1 species